rnacentral:rRNA from 1 species
UACGAGGGGGGCAAAUGUUGUUCGGAAUCACUGGGCGUAAAGGGAGCGUAGGCGGGCUUCUAAGUUAGAUGUUUAAUCCCGGGGCCCAACCCCGGACAGGCACCUAAAACUGGAAGUCUUGAAUAGUGGAGAGGACGGCGGAAUUGGGGUGUAGCGGUGGAAUGCGUAGAGAUCCCCAAGAACACCAGUUGCGAAGGCGGCCGUCUGGACACAUAUUGACGCUGAGGCUCGAAAGCAUGGGGAGCAAACAGG